rnacentral:rRNA from 1 species
UUGGAGGGCAAGUCUGGUGCCAGCAACCGCGGUAAUUCCAGCUCCAAUAGCGUAUAUUAAAGUUGUUGCAGUUAAAAAGCUCGUAGUUGAACCUCGGGGUCUACCCAUUGGUCAGGCUUAAUUGUCUGUACUGGUGAGAUGGAUCUCUACCUUCUGAGGAACUUUCAUGCCAUUUAUUUGGUGUGAUGGGAAAUCAGGACUGUUACUUUGAAAAAAUUUGAGUGUUUAAAGCAGACUAUCGUCUGAAUACAUUAGCAUGGAAUAAUGAAAUAGGACGGACUGAUUCUAUUUCGUUGGUUUCUAGGAUCACCGUAAUGAUUAAUAGGGAUAGUUGGGGGCAUUAGUAUUCAAUUGUCAGAGGUGAAAUUCUUGGAUUUAUUGAAGACUAACUACUGCGAAAGCAUUUGCCAAGGAUGUUUUCAUUAAUCAAGAACGAAAGUUAGGGGAUCGAAGACGAUCAGAUACCGUCGUAGUCUUAACCAUAAACUAAGCCGACUAGGGAUCGGACGAAGUUAAUUUUAUAAUGACGCGUUCGGCACCUUACGGGAAACCAAAGUGUUUGGGUUC